ensembl:lncRNA LINC00635 long intergenic non-protein coding RNA 635
AUAGCAACAGCAGCGUAGCUGAACAUCUUACGGAUGGCCCAGGGCUCCAAAGGCUCGUUUCCUAAGUGAGAGAGAGCCUGGCUGAAGCUGUAUUACCAUUCAUUCUCCAGCCUCCGAAGUCUCAAAGCAUCACUUCCACCAUACUCUAACUGUCAAGACAAACACAAAGGCCCAGAAACUGCCAGACUGUCUUCUGAAGUGGCUAUAAUAUUUACACUCCCAUCAGCAGUGUAGAAGGGGUCUCACUAUGUUGUCUGGAGUGCUGUGGUGGAGUGGAGUGGCUAUUCACAGAGCCUGUUCUGCUGGGACACAGAAUCACUUGCUCCAUCUCAUACAUUGAUGAUGAUUAAUUUGUAUGUGUACCUUCCAAAAAAGAUGGUUGUGUUUGAAUGGAGGCCUUCUGGACAGGAAAAUAUGGAGAGUGCGUGCUUUGGAUUCAAGACUGGGAAUGAGGGGACCAGAAACCUAUUCUGUGGCUGUUUCUUGUUAGGACUUUCCUAAGCCUCUGGAAAAGGUGACUCUGCUGUGCUCACUGCUCUAACUCUUUAGGUUUCUUUCUGCAUACAUAUUAAAAGGAGCUUAUUCUCCCUGACAGAGCAUUUCUGAUUUGACAGAACGGUGUAAGAUAUAUUCACUCAAGUGAGAAAAAAAGAAAUUGAGGUCUGUUUGUAUUUCCUUUAGGCUAUAAGCUUCUUAAGCAGAGACUGUCACGUUUUUACUCCUUAGUGGACUGUAACGGUAGCAUAAUAUUCUGCAUCUAAUUAGUCAUUUCAUUAAUUUUAUUGGAACCAGAAUGGUGACUACUGGCCUAAUUAGAAGGAAUCGCCCUUGGCUUCUAGGCUUAAAGAUAAGCUCUUGUCGUUCAGAGAGAGAAAUGCACUUUACAAAAGACGUGACUAUCAGAGGCACAACCCUGUUCUCUCUGCUUUGCAUUUCUCAUUUCCUUCAGGUUCAAUCCUGCUGAUGCUCUCCAUGGAGAUGGUCAGCAAGGUGGGUGCCCACGAACCAGAGAAGAGUGAGGAGGGAACAAGGUUCCUCUGUGUGGUGAUUUGUGGCUUUGGGAUAGCUGGUGUCAGUUUUAUCAAUGUAUGAUUGGGUUUUUUAAAUUAUGAAACUAUUUGAAUAUACAUAUGUGUGUAUGUGUGUGUAUAUAUGUGGAUAUGUGUGUGUAUAUAUAUAUAUAUAUAUUUUUUAAUCAAAAGACAUUGCUGUCAGUAAAGAUGACAAUUGUUUAAGAGCCUUUACCAAAUUUAUAAUCUACAUAAUGGUGAAUAUUCAAACUGACUUUCCUCAAAACACUUCUUAGCUAAUUUUUCAAGCUUGCCCAAGAGUGCUCAUGACAAGCCUCUGCCAACACCCAGGGGAGUUCUGUUGUGUCCACUACAAUUCCAAAGCUAAAAGUAGAAGGAGAUUUCAUUUUCACACCUCAGAGAGUUUAUUUUGCUGUUCUCAGAGGCCAGUUCCUGCCCCCAGUUUCCCAUAACAAUUAAUUAUAAAAAGGUGAUUUCCCAAGGAACAAAUGGUUAAGCACAAAGAUUUAGUUGUCCUAGUGUUUGCAUGGUUUUAUAUCCACUGUUUAAUUUUUCCAGUGCAAAGUACAAUUAACAUUUGAGUCUGUCUGAGUCAUGAAGAAAUGGAGAUUACUGAAAAUAAUUCAUUUUGGUAUCUUCUUACAUCCUGAGAGACUAAUCUUUCCAAGUUCAUCUGAGGCUCCUCUUCUCCAUGACAACCUCAUCCAGGGAUUUCUUCCUGUCCUGGUGUUUUAUGACAUAAUCACAUCCUUCCUGAGAUAAUGAGCACACAAUUGCCUGGAUACCUGAAGGAAUGGAGACAGCGGCAGAAAACACUGCAGAGAGGUGGAAACAUCCGUUAAUAUUUUAAAAUCCCAUUACUGCUACCAACAAUAAUAAUGGAUGCAUAGAAAUAGAUCUGGAUUAGCUGAGCUUGAAACAGUCCAUCUCACACACACACAAAAGAAUUUCAGGUAAUGAAGAAAAGAAAAGGAAAAAAAUAA